UACGGAGGGUCCAAGCGUUUAUCCGGAAUCAUUGGGUUUAAAGGGUCCGUAGGCGGUUUUGUAAGUCAGUGGUGAAAUCUCCGAGCUCAACUUGGAAACUGCCAUUGAUACUAUUGAUCUUGAAUUUUGUUGAGGUAGGCGGAAUAAGUCAUGUAGCGGUGAAAUGCAUAGAUAUGACUUAGAACACCAAUUGCGAAGGCAGCUUGCUAAACAAAUAUUGACGCUGAGGCACGAAAGCGUGGGGAUCAAACAGG
rnacentral:rRNA from 1 species